rnacentral:rRNA from 1 species
UACAGAGGGGGCAAGCGUUGUUCGGAAUUACUGGGCGUAAAGGGCGCGUAGGCGGCCCGCUAAGUCGAACGUGAAAUCCCCGAGCUCAACUCGGGAACUGCGUCCGAUACUGGCGGGCUUGAAUCCGGGAGAGGGAUGCGGAAUUCCAGGUGUAGCGGUGAAAUGCGUAGAUAUCAGGAAGAACACCCGUGGCGAAGGCGGCUCUCUGGAACGCAACUGACGCUGAGACGCGAAAGCGUGGGGAGCAAACAGG